GGCGAUGUUGCAAACAAUCAUGUGUUCCUCUCAAAACUGCCAGUCAAGCCCCAGUAAUAAAUUAAUUCGAGAGCUAUCUCCAGCUCCAUCUGUAUGAUACUUUAAAAGCAUUGUUCCAGUCUUCGAAGACAAUGGUGCUGAAAUAAUUUAUGCUUAAAACCCCGUGAUUUUAACUUUCCUUUCGAAUAAAAAGCCUGAGAGAAGUAAGAUUUCUCACCUUAAUUAGCCAUGAUCGGGCUGUUGUUCAACUCCUGUUAUAGCUUCUGGUUUCUUCUAAUCUGCUGCAGCUUCAAGCCUUCAGCACCUGCAGACCCACAAGCCAGCAAGAUCGAGAAAGAGAGAGAGAGAGGAGAUAAAUUUGAGGAUGCAGCUGAAUCUAGCGCCGGUGAGGGCCAAUUUAGAAUGUUACGGUCGUAUUUAGUUAAAGUUGAUAUUAGCGCAUAUUCAACAUAUAAUUAAUAGGUGAUCCAAAAUCGUACCUUUUAAUCCUAAAAGCAGAAGCGAAUCAUAUUCAACCAGUAAUUCAUUUUAUAGAUUUUUACUUAAUAUUUUAGCUUUGCUUAUUUAUUUAUUUUGAAGAGUUCCAUAGUUUGGUUUUGAUACAGCUGCUUGUUAUAUAAUCCAGCUUUACUUAGAAUGUCUCGGUUAGAAAUUUAUUUUUCCUAGCGAAAUAG
rnacentral:lncRNA from 1 species